AUUGAACGCUGGCGGCAUGCCUUACACAUGCAAGUCGAACGCCCCGCAAGGGGAGUGGCAGACGGGUGAGUAACGCGUGGGAACAUACCCUUUCCUGCGGAAUAGCUCCGGGAAACUGGAAUUAAUACCGCAUACGCCCUACGGGGGAAAGAUUUAUCGGGGAAGGAUUGGCCCGCGUUGGAUUAGCUAGUUGGUGGGGUAAAGGCCUACCAAGGCGACGAUCCAUAGCUGGUCUGAGAGGAUAAUCGGCCACAUGGGGACGGAGACACGGCCCAAACUCCUACGGGAGGAAGCAGUGGGGAAUAUUGGACAAUGGGCGAAAGCCUGAUCCAGCCAUGCCGCGUGAGUGAUGAAGGCCUUAGGGUUGUAAAGCUCUUUCACCGAUGAAGAUAAUGACGGUAGUCGGAGAAGAAGCCCCGGCUAACUUCGUGCCAGCCGCCGCGGUAACAC
rnacentral:rRNA from 1 species